AAGACCUUACUCUUAGGGAUCAUUUCUAUAGUAAGUGUCGCCAGGACGUCAGGUAAAACUGACGGGACCUAAAACCACGAGGAUGAGUAAAAGCGCCCCCCUCUGAGCGCGAAGCGGGUAAAUGCUGCCGCUGGAUCAUAGCGGCACGGCACUUGCCAUUGAUGACCGUUCCUCUCCCCCAUAAGUGGGGAGUAGGAGGAAGGGGGCGCAUUCUGAGUGGU